GGAAAACAUCUGAUUCAGAGAGUGACUGCCUGGGGUUACUUUGGUGCUUGUCCUUCUGGAGGAACUUGGUCAACUUUUCCUGGAUUUCCUCUGUGUUUAUGACAAACCUCUACCAUACUCGAGCAUUUUUUGUACAUCUACCAUAUGUUAAGUGAGAUAGCAGACAGCUCUUCCUUUUAGAAGUUUAUAACCUAGAAGGGGAACUAGUCAUUUGGAAAGCAAUGCAAAAUAGGUAAGUAAAUAACCAGUAACCACAGGGUAUUAUCAGGAAAAGAAAAACGUAAGAAUGGGUGAUCAAGACAAUACAGUGUUUUUAGAGAAAGUAACAUUCAAACUUAGACUGAAAAUAAUGCCAGGAAAAGAGUGAAGAAAA